rnacentral:rRNA from 1 species
AGCUCCAAUAGCGUAUAUUAAAGUUGUUGCGGUUAAAAAGCUCGUAGUUGGAUUUCUGUCGAAAACGGCCGGUCCGCUCUAUGAGCGUGCAUCUGGUUCGGUUUUGGCAUCCUUAUGAAGAACGUAACUGCGCUUGAUUGCGUGGUGCGGUAUUCAUAACUUUUACUUUGAGGAAAUUAGAGUGUUCACGGCAGGCAAGCGCCUUGAAUAUAUUAGCAUGGAAUAAUAAUAUAGGACAUGGGUUCUAUUUUGUUGGUUUCUAGAACUUAUGUAAUGAUUAAUAGGGAUAAUUGGGGGCAUUCGUAUUAACGCGUCAGAGGUGGAAUUCUUGGAUUGCGUUACGACGAACUACUGCGAAAGCAUUUGCCAAGGAUGUUUUCA